CCCCAUGCAUCUGAUGAGAGCUUUGCUGCUGAGAUUGUGUGAUUGCUCAGACUCAAAGUAAACGCCCUGAUGCAUGCGCA
rnacentral:snoRNA from 14 species